rnacentral:lncRNA from 1 species
CAAAUCACUCGCAGAAACUGCCAAGAUCACUAGCAGAGAUAGCACAGACUUGCAGAAAGUGAUUGGACCAGUGAUUUGCCCAAAUCACUGCCCCGAUCACAAUGACAGCAGAAAAUACAGCAGAGCGGGAAAUUGUUCAGGAAACCGAAUUUUGAGUUUUCAGAAGUCCAAAUCCAACUCAAUCACUACCAAAACAAUUCCAAGAGCCACGAAAGAGUUUCUCACUUAAGGAAUUCCAGUUACAAUUAAAUUCAACAUCAAAAGAGGAAUCACA